GACGAACGCUGGCGGCGUGCUUAACACAUGCAAGUCGAACGGAAAGGCCCUGCUUUUGUGGGGUUCUCGAGUGGCAAACGGGUGAGUAACACGUGAGUAACCUGCCCUUGACUUUGGGAUAACUUCAGGAAACUGGGGUUAAUACCGGAUAGGAGCUCCUGCUGCAUGGUGGGGGUUGGAAAGUUUCGGCGGUUGGGGAUGGACUCGCGGCUUAUCAGCUUGUUGGUGGGGUGGUGGCUUACCAAGGCUUUGACGGGUAGCCGGCCUGAGAGGGUGACCGGCCACAUUGGGACUGAGAUACGGCCCAGACUCCUACGGGAGGCAGCAGUGGGGAAUAUUGCACAAUGGGCGGAAGCCUGAUGCAGCAACGCCGCGUGCGGGAUGACGGCCUUCGGGUUGUAAACCGCUUUCGCCUGUGACGAAGCGUGAGUGACGGUAAUGGGUAAAGAAGCACCGGCUAACUACGUG
rnacentral:rRNA from 1 species